GCCUAAAGCGUCCGUAGCCUGUUUUGUAAGUUUUCGGUUAAAUCCAUACGCUCAACGUAUGGGCUGCCGGAAAUACUGCAAAACUAGGGAGUGGGAGAGGUAGACGGUACUCGGGAGGAAGGGGUAAAAUCCUUUGAUCUCUCGAUGACCACCUGUGGCGAAGGCGGUCUACCAGAACACGUCCGACGGUGAGGGAUGAAAGCUGGGGGAGCAAACCGGAUUAGAUACCCGGGUAGUCCCAGCUGUAAACUAUGCAAACUCAGUGAUGCAUUGGCUUGAUGCCAAUGCAGUGUUGCAGGGAAGCCGUUAAGUUUGCCGCCUGGGAAGUACGUACGCAAGUAUGAAACUUAAAGGAAUUGGCGGGGGAGCACCACAAGGGGUGAAGCCUGCGGUUCAAUUGGAGUCAACGCCAGAAAUCUUACCCGGAGAGACAGCAGAAUGAAGGUCAAGCUGAAGACUUUACCAGACAAGCUGAGAGGUGGUGCAUGGCCGUCGCCAGCUCGUGCCGUGAGAUGUCCUGUUAAGUCAGGUAACGAGCGAGAUCCUUGCCUCUAGUUGCCACCAUUACUCUCAGGAGUAGUGGGGCGAAUUAGCGGGACCGCCGUAGUUAAUACGGAGGAAGGAAGGGGCCACGGCAGGUCAGUAUGCCCCGAA
rnacentral:rRNA from 1 species